rnacentral:tRNA from 1 species
GCCGGGAUGGCAGAAUCAGGUAUCGCGCCAGACUCGAGAUCUGGUGGCCUUCGGGCUUUUAGGGUUCAAAGCUUAACCAAAAGCUGAUGAGAUUCCCUAUCCCGGCG